CACGGGGGAGUAUCAUAACAGCGGAGCAGCAAUGGAGAACAUCACUGUCCUGAACAAUCAGGAGGAUCCAGCAUCUUUAAAUCCUGAACGGAAGUCAUCUGGAUCCAUUAGAUCCAAUUUGGAUGAAGAUUUAUAUGCCGGAUUUGAAGCUUUAGUUGUGUUUCAGCGCUGUCACGUGUGGGAAAGUUACAAUUUCUGUCUUCAUCUGUUCGCAUCAGCUGAUGGAUUAAAACAAAGUACAACUAUGGAUCGUUUUGAAUGGAACAGAGGGUUUAUUCUUCCCGGGAUGAGUUGGAUCUAUUCCUGUCUUGCUUACUUUGUGUUGGACAAGUCGGCUCACGGACACCCUUUUCUCUUGGGAGACACGCAUGGUCCAGAGUGGUCACUGAGAAGAUAUUUAUGGCCACCUCACUGUUGUGGAUAUCUAUAACUUCUGCAGACUUGUGGAUUUGGACGUAUAAAAAGGAGAAACAAAAAUAGAUGGAGAAAUAUCCUGGAAUAUGAAAGCUGUGCUUCGGGGAUGUCCAGGGAUCAAUAUGACCAAUAUGAUUCUCCUGAACAAGCAGGUCCUCUGCCUCUCUCUGAGCUUGAAGAGCAAGGAUGAAGGCCCGUCGGAGCUGUCUGGCUUGCAUACAUCACUCUAUGCUGAGCUUUUAUCUAGCCACACUGGGCUGUGCUCCAUCCAGACCCAGCUCCCAGCAAGUGCACAGUCCUGAGACCUGUGGCAUUAAUAAAGAUAAUGCUGUUUGGAAUAAUAACAGUCAAUUCUGCUCAAUAGUGGAAAGAGACAGGACGUACAAGUGUCACAGAAUACAAAAGAAACCAAGAUGAAAGGCUGAAAGGGGAGUCUGUGCACCUCUUCCGCUCUCAGGUCAUUCCAGGUGAGCAGCGAGAAGAGGCUGAGUAAUGGAAACUCUAUCUCAACAGUUUUAAAAGGAUCACACCUAAUCGUGAGCUGGUCGGUGGACCUGCAUCCUCCUGCAGCAGCAGCUGUGCGCUCCUGGCCUGGCAAGUGAGCUACUUCCCUGACGAUCUAGCUGUCAGGUUCGAGCCAGGACUAGAACUCGGAAAAAAGCUGUGACAUAAACUCUGAGGCAAAGUGGAGAGGAUUCAGCAGCUCAGACAUUGUGGAACACAUCUGUCAACAUCUGGAUACAUGCUCAGUAGAAAAAUCGAUGUAAUAAAUGUGCUAAUGCCACAGUUACAUCAACCAUCUACACAUUGUUUGACUUUCUCAUUUUUUCCUGAAUUGAACUUGGAUAAAUAUUGUUUCUCCAUGUGCAUCUGUUCUUGAUUUUCAGUGCUUCUUCAGGCUGUGACAUUUAUUCAUGAAAAGGGAUCACCAACCGCUGGAACAUUUAAAGGAUAGUAAUCUGAUUGACUUUUAAUUUUGUGCAUCUUUUGCAGAUGCACAAAAUUAAAGAACAUAAAAUCAGUUUUGUACAAUGCCAUACAAAAGUAUUUAUAUUGAAGUUUUACAACCCCAAACCUCAAUACAUUGUAAUGGGAUUUUAGAUUAGAUAAAAAACAAUAGUUUAUAGUUGAAAUGUGAAAGAGCUUGACGGUAUGGUUUCUAAGUAUUACAGAUAAUAUUCUGAAACCUCUUUUCUGCGCAUGUACUUACAGUUUGCUGCAAUUACAGAUUUUUGGGAAUGUCUCUACUUAUUUUGCCAUUGUACAGACUGAUAAAUUACCUACCUGACAUUUUUCCUAUUUUGCUACUAUACAAAGUAGCUAAAAGUUUGCCACAUUUGAUGAAGAGCUUGUGUUUUAUCAAGACUGGCCAAAGAAUCUCAAUUAGAUUUAAGUCUGGACUUUGACAGGGCCAUUCAAAAACAUGAGAAUGCUUUGAGCUAAACUAUUUCAUUAUAGCUCUUCGAAAAAUUGGAAAUCUCUUGUACUGUUUAGCGUCCUGCGUGUUUUCUUUGCCUGGCUUGUAGUUCCAGGCAAAGACUCGGACCAAUUAGUCCUUGCUGAAGAAACAAAUCUGUGCAGCAUGAUGCCACCACUGCCAUAUUUUACCAUGGGAAUGAUUUAGUGUUACUUUACUGCCUUCUGGAAGGAACUUGCUUCAGUUAGAGAUAUCAGAGUAUAAGGGAGCCUAAAGACAUAUGCAUGCCACAUAAUGCAUGGCCAUUAUUCUAAACUUCACAAUUAUGCACUACUUUGUGCUCACACAAAAAUGCAUUGAAGUUUGUGGUUGUAAUGUGAAAAUUUUAAGUGUUGUCAAUGCUUUUUGUGAUGAACAAAAUCAACAUAUAUGAGAUCAAGGUGCUGUGCUGAGCCUGUUUAUUCAGUGGAACUGCAGCUUCUGUCUUCCAGUUCCCUUCACAAAGACACCAUUGUUGCAGGUUUUUGAUGAAUGCCAACCGAAAACACUCCCAACUGCAUUUCUUUGUGACACAUUGGCAGUCUUUUAAUGUAGGCCGAUCAUCCUGGCACAUUGUUCGUUAUGAUGAUGAUUUAUAGCUCCAUCCCUUUUGUUGUGUCUGCAAAAACUUGUUAGCAGAAAUAAAAAGAAAGUGUAUUUAA